ACAAGAGCAUGAAUAAGCAGCAGAGAAAGCACAGGGUUCGGCAGGCGAGUGGGACAGUUACCUGGCCCGGGCAGGGCCGAAGAAGUCCCCGGCCCUUUAUUGCCGUCCCCCCCGCCCCGACGCGCGCCGCCGCACGCCGGCCUCCCCUUCCCGGCUCCCAGCGGACCGAGGAGUCCACGCCGACCCCUGCCGCCUCACGCCCGUGCCCAAGACGGGGGGCCCGGAGAGAAGGCAGCGGCCACGCGCCGGCAAGUUGGACACUUACCUUCCCCGAACGCGCUACACCAUCAAUGGAGGACAAGUCUUUCUGCACGACGCUCCACACGUGUGUGGAUGGGACCUCUCUCAGCCCUGAGCCUUUCAUGCCAGAGUCUCAUGACCUGAAACCAGAUGUGCAUGAAACAGCGAAUUCAUUAAAAAAGUCAUGUGAAGAAUGACCUCUGCCUGCAGUAGUCAUCAAAUAACAGAAUAAUUCAGGGCUGUAGGGACAGGGAGGGCGCACCCAGAGGCGGAGACUUCGUGCUUUCACUCCCCGUUUGGCCCAGAACAACCAAGUGUUCAUAUAAAUACAAACCUUGUAACGGUGAUGUUUAAAAUUCUAAAUAUUUUAAUACUUGGACAUAUAUUGGAUGGAUCUUGAUAGACUAAAUUCAGCUCUAGGUAACUAAGUAAGGUUUUUCUAAUUGGAAAUAAACAGCAAAAAAAAGUAUAUAUAUUUGAGACAAAUAAAAUCUUAUCAUUGUUCCUCCAA